UAUUGGAAGUAUUCGAAUUAACAUAGCGAGUUAAAAUAAGGUUUAUCCGUAUUCAACUUUCAAAGUAUGCCUGUCUCGGGCAUUUUUUU
rnacentral:sRNA from 1 species